rnacentral:rRNA from 1 species
UACGUAGGGGGCUAGUGUUGUCCGGAAUCAUUGGGCGUAAAGAGCGUUUAGGCGGCCCGGUAAGUCCGCUGUGAAAGUCGGGGGCUCAACCCUCGAAUGCCGAUGGAUACUGUCGGGCUAGAGUGCGGAAGAGGCGAGUGGAAUUCCUGGUGUAGCGGUGAAAUGCGCAGAUAUCAGGAGGAACACCGAUUGCGAAGGCAGCUCGCUGGGACGUUACUGACGCUGAGACGCGAAAGCGUGGGGAGCGAACAGG